rnacentral:rRNA from 1 species
UGGCGGCGUGCCUAAUACAUGCAAGUCGAACGGCUUUUCUAUGGAAGCUUGCUUCCACUGAGAAGAUAGUGGCGGACGGGUGAGUAACACGUGGGUAACCUGCCCAUAAGAGGGGGGAUAACAUCCGGAAACGGGUGCUAAUACCGCAUAGUUUUCUUGAUCGCAUGAUUGAGAAAGGAAAGACGGCCUUUGUGCUGUCGCUUAUGGAUGGACCCGCGGCGUAUUAGUUAGUUGGUGAGGUAACGGCUCACCAAGACGAUGAUACGUAGCCGACCUGAGAGGGUGAUCGGCCACAUUGGGACUGAGACACGACCCAAACUCCUACGGGAGGCAGCAGUAGGGAAUCUUCCGCAAUGGUCGAAAGUCUGACGGAGCAACGCCGCGUGAGUGAAGAAAAGGUUUUCGGAUCGUAAAACUCUGUUGUCAGAGAAGAACAAGUCGGAGAGUAACUGCUCCGGCCUUGACGGUAUCUGACCAGAAAGCCACGGCUAACUACGUGCCAGCAGCGGC